rnacentral:rRNA from 1 species
UACGUAGGGUGCAAGCGUUGUCCGGAAUUAUUGGGCGUAAAGAGCUCGUAGGCGGUUUGUCGCGUCUGCUGUGAAAACUCGGGGCUUAACCCCGGCCUGCAGUGGGUACGGGCAGACUAGAGUGCGGUAGGGGAGACUGGAAUUCCUGGUGUAGCGGUGAAAUGCGCAGAUAUCAGGAGGAACACCGGUGGCGAAGGCGGCGACCUGGGUAGAUACUGACGCUGAGGCGCGAAAGCGUGGGGAGCAAACAGG